rnacentral:misc_RNA from 1 species
CGGUGUUGUUCACGGGGAUAAGAUCACACCGAUCGGAUUUUUGGGCUCUACCUACCCACCCAUGUCUAAAGCCCGUGUUUAUGCAGAUGUCAAUGUUCUGCGCCCCAAGGACUAUUGGGAUUACGAAUCUCUUGCUGUUCAAUGGGGUGAUCAAGACGAUUAUGAGGUUGUCCGGAAAGUUGGAAGAGGAAAAUAUAGUGAG